GGAAAGAUGGCUCAGUGGUUAAGAGCUCUGGCUGUUCUUCCAGAGGACCUGGGUUCAAUUCCCAGCCCCA
rnacentral:tRNA from 1 species